rnacentral:rRNA from 1 species
CAAUGUAGGUAAGGGAAGUCGGCAAAUUGGAACUGUAACUUUGGAAAAAGAUUGGCUCUGAGGGCUGGGCCAGUUGGGCCGGGUUAUGAAGCGGGACUGGGAUGACCCCGGGCUGGGCGAGGCCGCCCGUUGCUAGUCGACGGGGCCGGCCGAGCUCGGAACGCGGCUUCAACCUUCCCAUGGACUGCCUCAGCUAUGCGGCGGCUCCACGCGAGUCGUCCGCUUCGGCUGGCAUUCAACAGUCAACUCUGAACUGGUACGUGAGAGAGUGGAGUGGUUCAGCGAGGCAAGGCUGAGGGACCAGUUAAUCCACGGGUUUAUAGACUCUGCUCUACGG